rnacentral:rRNA from 1 species
UACGGAGGGUGCGAGCGUUGUCCGGAAUCAUUGGGCGUAAAGGGCGCGUAGGUGGCCCGGUCAGCGUGCGGUGAAAGCUCGGGGCUCAACCCCGAGUCGGCCGUGCGAACUGCUGGGCUUGAGCACUGUAGAGGCAGGCGGAAUUCCGGGUGUAGCGGUGGAAUGCGUAGAGAUCCGGAAGAACACCGGUGGCGAAGGCGGCCUGACUGGGCAGUGGCUGACACUGAGGCGCGGACAGCGUGGGGAGCAACAGG